rnacentral:lncRNA from 1 species
GGGUAAUGAGAUUUGGUGAUGGGCUGAAUUGUCCACAUUGAUUAAUUCUAAUGAUGAAAAAGGGGUAAUAAAAGGCAAUGUGAUUAACUGACUUGAUUUAUUAUGUGUGAUUGUGUUCUUUAUUGAACUCGUAUACUUGUGAUAACUGAGGUGAUUACAUAUCAUAUUGAUAUUUGAUUGAGAGGCAUAUCCCUUUUAUUGAUAUCAUAUC